rnacentral:rRNA from 1 species
GAAAGGGCGUAGGGUGGAUGCCUUGGCAUCAGUGGCCGAAGAAGGGCGCGGCAAGACUGCGAAAAGCCUCAGUGAGCUGUCUAGCUAGCCUAGCUGGGGAUUCCCGAAUGGGGCAACCCGCUUGGGUGAAACCCAAGCACUCGCUUUAAGUGAGAGGGAACCGGGUGAACUGAAACAUCUAAGUAACCCGAGGAAAAGAAAUCAAAAGAGAUUCCCUAAGUAGUGGCGAACGAAAGGGGAAAAGCCCAAACCAAGGUAGCUAAGUGGGCUUGGGUCCUAAGCUAUCUUGGGGUUGUAAGGCACAAGGAGCAGAUUCCAAGGUCUGCUACAGAGUUACAAAACUUCAUCUUAGCCAAAUGCUUCUGGAAAGGGCAACCAUAGAGGGUGAGAGUCCGGUAGGCGAAAAGAUUGAAGUCUCUGCUUGUGUUCUUGAGUACCACGGGACACGUGGAAUCCUGUGGGAAGCUGGGGGGACCACCCUCCAAGGCUAAAUACUGCUGAUGACCGAUAGUGAACCAGUACCGUGAGGGAAAGGUGAAAAGCACCCCGGGAGGGGAGUGAAAUAGAAUCUGAAACCUUACGCCUACAAGCAGUCAGAGGUUCGUUUCGGCGAACUAAUGGCGUGCCUAUUGGAGAAUGAGCCGACGAGUUGAUUUAUGUGGCUAGGUUAAGCAACUUAGUUGCGGAGCCGAAGCGAAAGCGAGUCCGAAUAGGGCGUAGCUCAGGUUAGCUGAGCCGGUCGCAUGGAUCAGACCCGAAACCGAGUGAUCUACCCAUGGCCAGAGUGAAGCUCAAGUAAGAUUGAGUGGAGGCUCGAACUUGUGAGUGAGGCAAAACUCUAAGAUGAGCUGUGGGUAGUGCAGGUGAAAUGCCAAUCGAACUCGGAGAUAGCUGGUUCUCCCCGAAAUGCAUUUAGGUGCAGCCUCAGGAAGUAAUUUAUGGAGGUAGAGCUCUGGAUGGGCUUGGGACCGUGAGGUUACCGUGUUCAACCAAACUGCAAAUGCCAUGAAUGUAAUCCUGGGAGUGAGACUGUGGAGGAUAAGCUCCAUAGUCGAGAGGGAAACAGCCCAGACCAUCAGCUAAGGUCCCUAAAUACAGGCUAAGUGGGAAAGGAAGUGAUGUUGCUGAAACAGCCAGGAGGUUGGCUCAGAAGCAGCCAUCCUUUAAAGAGUGCGUAAUAGCUCACUGGUCGAGUGACAUUGCACCGAUAAUUUAACGGGGCUCAAGUCUGUUACCGAAGCUAUGGAACCGCUGCUUCGCAACGGAAGCACUAAGUCCUAAUAUCUAAAUUCUAAACUUACUUUAGGAUUUAGAAUUUAGGAUUUCUAGCGCGGAGCGGUAGUUGGUAGGGGAGCGUUGUCAAAGCUGAGAAGCUGUGGCGUAAGUCAUGGUGGAGCUAUGACAAGUGAGAAUGUCGGCAUGAGUAGCGUAAAGGCAUGUGAAAACCAUGCCCACCGUAAACCUAAGGUUUCCUAUGCAACGUUAAUCGACAUAGGGUUAGUCAGGCCUAAGCCGAACCCUAAUGGGGUAGGCGAUGGACAAUGGGUUAAUAUUCCCAUACCGCUUAGCCUUUGUUUUAAGGCAAAGGGGGGACACAGGAAGGUAGGUUGAGCAUGCCUAAUGGACAGGGUGUGUUCCCGACCCGAGGUGUGUCAGGGCAGGCAAAUCCACUCUGACGUUAAGCUGAGGGGAGGGGGAAAUUGAGGGGCAACCCGAGAUAACUCAACUGAGCCUACACUGUCAAGAAAAGCCUCGUUGCUAAAAUGCUAAGCGCCUGUACCGCAAACCGCCACUGGUAGGUGGGGAUAAGAGUCCCAAGGUGUUCGAGAGAACCCUCGUUAAGGAACUCGGCAAUUUUACCCCGUAACUUUGGGAGAAGGGGGCCCGUCUGAGAAGGCGGGGGCACAAAAUUGGCCCAGGCGACUGUUUAACAAAAACAUAGGUCUCUGCUAAAGCGAAAAAGCUGAAAUAUAGAGGCUGAUACCUGCCCGGUGCCAGAAGGUUAAGGGGAGAGGUUAGGAUGGUAACAUUCGAAGCUUUGAACCGAAGCCCUGGUGAACGGCGGCCGUAACUAUAACGGUCCUAAGGUAGCGAAAUCCCUUGUCGGGUAAGUUCCGACCCGCACGAAAGGUGUAACGACCUGGGCGCUGUCUCAACGAGGGACUCGGUGAAAUUGAAAUGGGGGUGCAGAUGCCCUCUACCCGCGACAGGACAAAAAGACCCUGGCAGCUUUACUAUAGCUUGGCAUUGAGCUUAGGCUAAGCAUGUGUAGGAUAGGUGGGAGGCUAAGAAGCUGGGGCGUCAGCCUCGGUGGAGCCAACGGUGAAAUACCACUCUUGUUUAGUUUUGGUUCUAACCCACUCUGCGAGUGGGGACAGUGUCUGGUGGGUAGUUUGACUGGGGCGGUUGCCUCCUAAAAGGUAACGGAGGCGUCCAAAGGUUCCCUCAGCACGGAUGGAAACCGUGUGUUGAGUGCAUUGGCAUAAGGGAGCUUAACUGUGAGACCUACAAGUCGAGCAGAGACGAAAGUCGGGCAAAGUGAUCCUACGGUUCUAUGUGGAAAGGCCGUGGCUUAUCGGAUAAAAGCUACGCCAGGGAUAACAGGCUUAUCUUGCCCAAGAGUUCACAUCGACGGCAAGGUUUGGCACCUCGAUGUCGGCUCGUCGCAUCCUGGGGCUGGAGAAGGUCCCAAGGGUUGGGCUGUUCGCCCAUUAAAGCGGCACGCGAGCUGGGUUCAGACCGUCGUGAGACAGGUUGGUCUCUAUCCGUCGUGGGCGCCGGAGAUUUGAGGGGAGCUCUCCUUAGUACGAGAGGACCAGGAGGGACAGACCUCUGGUGUGCCAGUUGUUGCGCCAGCAGCAGUGCUGGGUAGCCAAGUCUGGAUGGGAUAAGCGCUGAAAGCAUCUAAGUGCGAAGCCCACCCCAAGAUAAGAUCUCCCACCGGAGCAUGGGUUCCCGUCAAAGUUUACUUUGAUGGGUGCUUAACCGGGUAAGGCCGCAAGUAGACUACUUGCUUGAUAGGCGGCAUGUGUAAGCGGAGUAAUCCGU